AAACGUGAGAAAAAGGAAGGUGUUUUAUAAUAACACUAUGAGGAGCUGUUAGGGACAUAACUCAUUCUUGCUUGUGCACAUACAGUACAUCAUAUAAUGACUCACUCACUAGUGAAAUGAGUCAUCAGUCACAUGUUUUGGAGAAUCCACCUAUCUACAUAGCUCCCACUAUUCAUUCUAAUUUUAAAUGCGAGUGCAUGCGUUUCAGUAGUAAGUGCAUGCUAUUCAAUAGAUAGUGUAUGUGUUUCAAUAGCUAGUGUAUGUGUUUCAAUAGACAGCGUAUGUGUUUCAAUAGAUAGUGUAUGCGUUUCAAUAGAUGGUGUAUUUUAUUCAAUAGUGUAUGCUUUUCAAUAGUGUAUGCUUUUCAGUAGUGUAUGUGUUUCAAUAGGUAGUGUAUGCGUUUCAAUAGAUAGUGUAUUUAUUUCAAUAGUGUAUGCUUUUCAAUAGUGUAUGCGUUUCAAUAGAUAGUGUAUUUAUUUCAAUAGUGUAUGCUUUUCAAUAGAUAGUGUAUUUAUUUCAAUAGUAUUUGCGUUUCAAUAGUGUUUGCGUUUCAAUAGAUAGUGUUUGCGUUUCAAUAGAUAGUGUUUGCGUUUCAAUAGAUAGUGUAUGCGUUUCAAUAGAUAGUGUUUGCGUUUCAAUAGAUAGGUAUGCUUUUCAAUAGAUAGGUAUGCUUUUCAAUAGUGUAUGUGUUUCAAUAGAUAAGUAUGCUUUUCAAUAGUUUAUGCGUUUCAAUAGAUAGUGUAUGCUUUUCAAUAGAUAGUGUAUUUAUUUCAAUAGUGUAUGCUUUUCAAUAGUGUAUGCUUUUCAAUAGAUAGUGUAUUUAUUUCAAUAGUAUUUGCGUUUCAAUAGUGUUUGCGUUUCAAUAGAUAGUGUUUGCGUUUCAAUAGAUAGGUUUGCUUUUCAAUAGAUAUGUAUGCUUUUCAAUAGUGUAUGUGUUUCAAUAGAUAAGUAUGCUUUUCAAUAGUUUAUGCGUUUCAAUAGAUAGGUAUGCUUUUCAAUAGUUUAUGCAUUUCAAUAGUUUAUGCAUUUCAAUAGUUUAUGCAUUUCAAUAGUGUAUGCUUUUCAAUAGUGUAUGCGUGUCAAUAGAUGGUGUAUGCUUUUCAAUAGUGUAUGCUUUUCAAUAGUUUAUGCAUUUCAAUAGAUAGUGUAUGCUUUUCAAUAGCUUAUGCGUUUCAGUAGAUAGCGUAUGUUUUUCAAUAGUGUAUGCAUUUCAAUAGAUGGUGUAUGCUUUUCAAUAGUGUAUGCGUUUCAAUGGAUGGUGUAUGCUUUUCAAUAGUGUAUGCGUUUCAAUGGAUGGUGUAUGCUUUUCAAUAGUGUAUGCGUUUCAAUGGAUGGUGUAUGCUUUUCAAUAGUUUAUGCAUUUCAAUGGGCAGCAGUGUGGAGUAGUGGUUAGGGCUCUGGACUCUUGACCGGAGGGUUGUGGGUUCAGUCCCAGGUGGGGGACACUACUGCUGUACCCUUGAGCAAUGUACUUUACCUAGAUUGCUCCAAUAAAACCCCAACUGUAUAAAUUGGUAAUUGUGUGUAAAAAAUAAUGUAAUUGUAUGUAAAAAUAAUGUGAUAUCUUGUAACAAUUGUAAGUCGCCCUGGAUAAGGGUGUCUGCUAAGAAAUCAAUAAUAUUAUUAGUUUAUUUAAUAGACGCCUUUAUCCAAGGCGACUUACAGAGACUAGGGAGUGUGAACUAUGCAUCAGCUGCGCUGCAGAGUCACUUACAACUACGUCUCAACCGAAAGACGGAGCACAAGGAGGUUAAGUGACAUGCUCAGGGUCACACAAUGAGUCAGUGGCUGAGGUGGAAUUUGAACCGGGGACCUCCUGGUUGCAAGCCUGUGUCUUUAACCACUGGACCACACAGCCUCCUUAUGUGUUUUUCAAUAGUAAGUGUAUGCGUUUCAAUAGAUAGUGUAAGCGUUUUAAUAGAUAGUUUAUGCUUUUCAGUAUUGAAUGUAUGAGUUUUAACUUAAGUAGUGAGUGUAUGUUUCAAUAGUGUAUACGUUUCAGUAUAGAAUGUAUGCAACAUUUCACUAAGGAGCAUAUGUAUUUCACUAUACAUAAAAUAAGAAAUCAAUAGUCAGUGAGUCCGUUUCAAUGUAGAGUGUCUGUUUCAGUAUAUAAUGUAUGCCUUUCAGUAUAUGAUCUAUGUGCACAAGCAAGGAUGAAUUAUUCCCCUGACGGCGCCUCAUAUAAUACUACACAAAAGCAUUUUAGUUUCUUAUUGUAAAACAGUUAUAUUGAUUUAGUAAUAUAUAUUUCUGCUCUUGACAUCAAGAAGUCCCAGCAAGUAAGGUAAAUAAGAAGGUAGUAUAGCUACUGGUUCCAGCGAAGUCAGAAGGCUCAUGCUCAGCCUUGUCUGACCAAGGACAUUUUUUUGACCUCAGUGUUCCACCCAAUAAUUAAGCUUUUCAACCAAGUAAAAGUAGGACCACACAGUUAAUGAGAUGGUAAUGUGAACUUUUAAAAUCUGUAAUUAUACCAGAUUUAACCAUCUAAUAUGUGUCAAUAGUACAGGACGUUACAGGCAAAAAAGAUGUCAAGAUAUUUGUGUUGGUAUCGUUAAGAUAUGUUGUCAAUAUUUUUCUAGAAUGCAUUGUAGUUUUGUAUGGAAUGGGGAAGUUGCAUAGUGAUGAGUUCAUUUAAAAGUUUAUAGAUUAAAGAAAUAUGGGACUAAACCAGAAAGAAGUUGACAAAUUUAAGAUGAUUUGUACAAGACUAUGCAAUGCACACGCAGUCUUGCACACAACAUAGCAUGACAUGAAAUAAUAAAUGAAUAGGGAAGGCAUUUGGUGACUCACAAUUAACAACAGUGGAAUUGCUUUUAUUCAUUUAGAACUAUGAAAAAGGUAGACGGUGUUGUUAAAUAAACUCAGUAUCACCACAGUUUAACAAUAAUUAGUGGUGUUUUAUUGCUGUCUUUAUUGACAUCGCUAAAUACAAUUGCAAAAAAUAUGAUGAAAAGAGGUUUGUUAUUGAGGGUAGUUGUAUUAAAAUGGUGUGCAGUUUGGCAAAUUAAAAUUGGACUCAUGGUCUGAAUGCUGUGGUAAAGGAAUUAUAUUGCACCUUCGUGAACAAAGGUCUGUAAAGUAUUCUUAGAACAAAGCUUUCAAUGCGCCUUUUUAGUACCUGCCUUGUGUGGGAAAGAUAUAUGUUUAGUAAAAUAUUUAAAAAAAAAACCAAAAAAAAAACAUAAUUCGUUUUAUACAGAGCGUAACAGGAUGGUAAAGGGUUAGACAGACAGUAGCUGUGGGUUUAAGUGCCGGGGUGCACAUUUAUUAAUCAAAAUAAAAUCAAAAACACUGCGCACGGAGCAAAAUAAAAAGGUUAAACAAAAACAAGUCUUUUGUUCGGCUGGGCAUUUGCCUUCACAGACCAACAUCACAUAACACCCAGCAAAACUCACCUCACUCCUUUCCCAACACACUCUCUCAAACAAAGGAUUUUCUCCCCUUGUAUCCCAUGUGGCUGGAGCCUAAUUAAUCAUCAAUUAUUCAAUUAAGGCUCCAACCACACAUAUAUUUGGCAGGGAUAGGAAUUAACCCCAUCCCUGCCAGCCACCACAACUAACACACAAACAAACACUAUUUACAAGUAGGGCUGUGCCCUGCCACACAUAGUAAAAAUGUUCAUCCUGUGAAAUGUGUUUGAAGGCUGUUGUACCUGUAUGCAAUAUUAAGCAUCAAAAGUGUGAUUUCAGUCAUCACGAUAACCAUUUAACACCCCAUGGUAAAAUAGAAGAACACCAACGUAAUACUACAUAGAAGUUUUGGACCACAGCAUAUUUCAUAUAAAAUAUUUACAUUAUAUAGUAAUGUUUCAGGUUUCUCUCUAAACUCCAUGUGAAGAAAAGCUGUAUACUCCAUUCCACAGGCCCUAACCAGGUGUGGAUAAUAAGCUCAUCCCACUGCUGAGAAUAAACACAUCUUCAAUUAAUACCAUGAGCCACACCAGAUAUGUGGCUGUUAGAAAACCUCAAAUGGAUCUGCUGCCCUCACAUGGAGUCUAGGGAGUUUUCAGUUUAUUAUUACAUUUCUUAGCAGACGCCCUUACCCAGGGCGUGACUUACAAUUGUUACAAGAUAUCACGUUAUUUUUUACAUACAAUUACCCAUUUAUACAGUUGGGUUUUUUUUACUGGAGCAAUCUAGGUAAAGUACCUUGCUCAAGGGUACAGCAGCAGUGUUCCCCCACCUGGGAUUGAACCCACGACACUCCGGUCAAGAGUCCAGAGCCCUAACCACUACUCCACAUUGCUAAAUGGCAGGUUUCUUAGACUUAAAUGAUGUUAGUUUUUUAGAGUGUAUUUCUGUAUCAUUAGUAACCCUGUGACCAACGAAAUGUUAGAAUACCAUACACUGGUUAAAUGUGUAUUGCAUAAAAUAAUAAUUUUAGUCAAAAACUGUUUUAUAUCUGUGUGUUUCUGUAAAUAACAGGCCAUACUAUAUGUGGAUGAGGGAUUUAAAGCAAUGGUCUGCCUGGGUGACACUCAGUAUUUUCCUCAGUGAGCUCAGAACCUUGCACUCUCCAUUGAAUUGGAAUACUAAGGCAUGGAUCUAAUCAAACAACAUUUUAGCUAUUGUGGCAGCAUUUAUGAAAAUACUGCAAAACAUGUGUUCAAAGGAAUUAAUGUCAAACAAUUUAGAGAAUAAUACAACCCAUAGAGAAAUCACUGUGUUAAUAGGAAACACUGUGGUAAUCAAUCAAAAGAUAAACUUAAUCUUGAUAUUCAGAUAUUCUAACUGAAACACGUACAGUAUAUACUAGUUGUCCCAAGCCAUUCGACGUAUCUGUGGGUGGAUAAAUAUAUACUGUACCUGAUAUAUUCUUGUUUAGAGCAAAAAACUGUCUUUGUAUCUUGAAUACAUUAUCACAAAAGCUGCCUGUCUAGACUGAUUUUUAUUAAUCAUAUGUUCCAGCCUCUGGUGGAAGUCCAUCUGUGAAAUCCUGGGCAGAUCACUGUAUAAGUGUUGUGUAAACUACGGUCAUAAGUUGGUCAUUGUAAAGUGAUAUGGUAUGAGUUAAGGUCGAGGAAUUGUUUGAAGUUUUAAAUAGAUACGGUACUGGUUUGUUUGGUUUUCCCAAACUAAAGUACCCUUUAAGGCAAGUCAUGAAACAGGUUGUAUGUUAGACAUUCCCUGGAAAGCUGUGUAUCUUAGUUUGUUUACUUGAUUAUUUAUAUGUAUUAGAGUUUGUAUCAUCAAUGCAUUGUGGUCACAACCUGUUUAACAUCUUGUUUUGAUUUUCAAGGCAAUUAAUCUUGCAGUUUUUAAAACACCUGUUUGUUUUAUCACUAAUAAUUUCAUACAAUACCAGGAAUAAACAUUUAAAAUAGUUUGUUGAGUGAAAUACAACAUAAGUGGUUUAAUACACUCCAAAUAUUAAAAAUAAUAAUUUAAGUACCAGCCAUCUAUUAAAAUCCAUAUUUGGUCCUAAAAUGAAUGUUUCUAGACACAUUUAAUUGUGUAUAUGUAUAGUUUUAAUAUGAUAAAAAUUCACCUUCAGAGCCUAUCAUGAUAAAAUAUGUUUGAAUUUGAAAUAAUUGUCGAAUGUGUACAGUGUGACAAUCUAUAAAACAACUUAUUGAGGUGAAAAGGGGUGGUCGACAUUUGAAGUAGAAAACCGAAAAAAAGAUGAUAAAGAAUGAUUGAUUUACUUUAUGUAUCACUUACAUGGCUAUUAAGCCCAAAUCAUAAUUGAUGUGUCAUGUUUUAUUAUGUUGAACCUUUUGUUGUUUAAAAAAAGCUUAAUUGUAGAAUGUUUCUUUUUGUAUUAGUACUUACAUUAUGUACGGACUUACUGCUGUUCAAAUAAUUCCACAGAAGUCCUGCACUACUGCAUAGGAUCUCAGCACUGCCUGUAAUCUCAGCACUGCCCUCAUUAAGAGGCUUAACAUUUCUAACACAAAUUGAAGAAUUUGAUGAGAAACCUCUUUUUUUUUUUUAAAUCUUGCCCUAAAAGCAUCCCCAAUGUGCUCUUAUGUACAAUCCUGACCAUAGCUUUGGAGUGUUAAGUGUAUAUGAGCAGAUGACAAGGGCUAUGGAACUCAUAAACAGCUAUGAAUGAUAAAUCAAUUUAACAUACAAUAUCUGAAUAACCAUUGACAGCUGUUAAGAGGAAUGUCAUAUGAAAAUGAUUGUUCACUGCAUGAGAUUGUUACAUUAAACACUUCCAUAAAGCUUAAAA